AUGGCACUCCAAGGCAUCCUCCUCUUGGGCUUCCUUCUUGUUCUUGGCUGUGCUGUGAGGAUCAGUGGAGCGACUAACUCUAAGCAAUUUGACAAUGCCUCCCUCAACCGGAGCAGUUUUCCGGCAGGAUUCAUAUUUGGGACAGCUUCUGCAGCUUACCAGUAUGAAGGGGCUGCAAAAGAAGGGGGUCGAGGACCAAGUAUAUGGGACACAUACACUCACAAGUAUCCAGAGAAGAUCUUUGACCACAGCAGCGGAGAUGUGGCUAUUGAUCAAUAUCAUCGCUAUAAGGAAGAUGUUCGGACUAUGAAGGACCUAGGUUUUGAUGCUUACAGACUCUCAUUUUCAUGGUCCAGAUUGUUACCAAAUGGAAAGCUAAGUGGGGGUGUCAACAAGGAAGGAAUCAAAUAUUACAACAACCUCAUCAACGAGCUUCUAGCCAAUGGUGUGAAGCCUUUUGUCACAAUCUUUCAUUGGGAUCUUCCCCAAGCAUUAGAAGAUGAAUACGGUGGCUUCUUAAGUCCAAAAAUUGUGAACCAUUUUCAGGACUAUGCAGAGCUCUGCUUUAAAGAAUUCGGUGACAGAGUUAAGCAUUGGAUCACCUUAAAUGAGCCCCAUAGCUACAGCCGUAAUGGUUAUGCAACCGGAAAGUUUGCACCAGGUCGAUGUUCUGCUUGGCAGAAACGAAAUUGCACAGGUGGGGAUUCAGGGACCGAGCCAUACUUAGCGUCACAUUACCAACUUCUAGCUCAUGCAGCCGCCAUGAAGUUGUAUAGGCAUAAGUAUCAGGCAAAACAGAAGGGAUUGAUAGGGAUAACAAUAAAUUCACACUGGUUUGUGCCGUAUUCUGAUUCUAAGCAAGACCAAGCUGCAGCACUACGAGCACUGGAUUUUAUGUUUGGAUGGUAUAUGGAUCCCAUGACAAAUGGUGACUAUCCAAGUAGCAUGCGAGCUCUUGUUGGAAAUCGAUUACCCAAGUUCACGAAAGAGCAAUCAAAGAUGCUGAAAGGUUCAUUUGAUUUUCUUGGCUUGAAUUACUACACAGGUAAUUAUGCAGCCAAUAUACCGUUUCGUAAUGUUAAAGAAGCAAGCUACACAACAGACUCUCUUGCUAAUCUUACAGCCGUGCGUAAUGGUAUUCCAAUUGGUCGACCGGCUGCUUCAGAUUGGCUUCAUUUUUAUCCACAAGGUUUUAGAGAGAUAUUGCAUUACACAAAGAAGAAGUACAACAAUCCUCUUAUUUACAUCACUGAAAAUGGAUGGGAUGACCGCGGUGAUCCAACAUUAUCACUAGAGGAAGCCCUUCGCGAUAAUCUAAGAAUUGAGUAUUACAAUCGCCAUCUUGAUGAACUUCAGAAAGCAAUUAAGUAUGGCUUUAUCUGAUUGAGUUUGGCUGGGGUUAAGGUGAAGGGGUACUUUGCAUGGUCAUUGUUUGAUAACUUUGAGUGGGCUGAUGGUUAUAGUUGUAGGUUUGGUAUCAAUUCUGUGGACUACAAAAAUGGACUCAAAAGACACCCUAAACACUCUGCAGCUUGGUUCAAGAACUUUCUGCAGAAGGGAAGUGCUGGCCGUUUUAUGGCACUCCGAUUAGGGUUAAUCCUCCUCCUACUUGUUCUUGUCUGCACUGCAGCUGUGACAACCGGUAGAGCUGCCAGCUCGCGGCACCGUGACAGCUCUUCCCUCCACCGGAGCAGUUUUCCGGCUGGCUUCGUAUUCGGAACAGCUUCAUCGGCUUACCAGUAUGAAGGUGCUGCAAAUGAAGGUGGUAGAGGUCCAAGUAUAUGGGAUACAUACACUCACAAGUAUCCCGAGAAGAUACACGACCACAGUACUGCAGAUGUGGCUAUUGAUGAGUAUCAUCGCUAUAAGGAAGAUAUCCGGAUUAUGAAAGAUAUGGGGCUUGAUGCUUACAGAUUUUCAAUUUCAUGGUCAAGAUUGUUACCAAAUGGAAAGCUGAGUGGAGGUGUGAACAAGGAAGGAAUCAAAUACUACAAUAACCUCAUCAACGAGCUUCUAGCCAACGGUCUUGUACCCUAUGUUACGCUCUUUCAUUGGGAUACCCCUCAAGCUCUGGAAGAUGAAUUCAGUGGGUUUCUUAGCCCUAAAAUUGUGGACCAUUUCAAGGAUUAUGCAGAUCUCUGCUAUAAAGAAUUUGGUGACAGAGUUAGGUAUUGGAUCACGUUAAAUGAGCCAUGGAGCUACACCAAUGGUGGUUAUGUUAUUGGAACGUUUGCGCCAACCCGAUGUUCUGAUUGGCAAAAUCUGAAUUGUACCGGUGGAGAUUCAGGGACUGAGCCAUACUUGGCGACACAUUAUCAACUCCUGGCUCAUGCAGCAGCCGUGAAGUUGUACAGAGACAAAUAUCAGGCAUCACAGAAGGGCGUGAUCGGAAUAACACUACUAUCAUACUGGUUUGUGCCAUAUUCUGAUGCAAAGUGUGAUGUGGAUGCUGCAGAACGUGCAUUGGAUUUUAUGUAUGGAUGGUUUAUGGACCCCCUGAUUAACGGAGACUAUCCACACAGCAUGCGAUAUCUUGUUGCAGAACGAUUACCAAAAUUCACCAAAGAAGAAUCCAUGUUGCUUAAGGGGUCAUUUGAUUUCAUUGGAGUAAACUACUACACUGCUAACUUCGCAGCCUACAAUGCACCUCGGUUUAAUGCUACUCAUCCUAAUUCAAAUAACCCAAGCUACUUGACAGACGCUCUUGUCAAUCUUUCAGGCUUGAACAUGAACGUUGUGACAGUGGAACGUGAUGGAGUUCCUAUUGGCCCAAAGACUGCUUUGGAUUGGCUCUAUGUUUAUCCAGAAGGAUUUCGAGAGCUAUUGCUCUACACAAAGAACAAGUAUAAUGAUCCAGUUAUCUACGUCACUGAAAACGGAGUUAAUGAGCUAAACGAUCCCGGAUUAUCACUCGAGGAAUCCCUAACCGAUCAUCAUAGAAUUGACUAUUACGAUGCCCAUCUCAGUUAUCUGCUUUCAGCAAUGAAGGAUGGGGUUAAUGUGAAAGGAUAUUUUGCGUGGUCAUUGUUUGAUAACUUUGAAUGGAAUACGGGUUACACUUGUAGAUUCGGCUUCAACUUUAUAGAUUACAGAAAUGGACUCAAACGAUACCCUAAACUCUCAGCUGGCUGGUUCAAGAAUUUUCUUCAGAAGACGUCUGUUAAGUUAGAUACAAGUUCCUCUCGAGAGUUUCAAUCAAUUUAA